CGCGUAGGCGGUGUACACAGUCAGGCGUGAAACUUCCCGGGCUCAACCUGGGGGCUGCGCUUGAUACAUGUACGCUUGAGUUCGGAAGAGGGUCGUGGAAUUCCCAGUGUAGAGGUGAAAUUCGUAGAUAUUGGGAAGAACACCGGUGGCGAAGGCGGCGACCUGGUCCGAUACUGACGCUGAGGCGCGAAAGCGUGGGAAGCAAACA
rnacentral:rRNA from 1 species